rnacentral:rRNA from 1 species
AUUGAACGCUGGCGGCAUGCCUUACACAUGCAAGUCGAACGGCAGCACGGGUGCUUGCACCUGGUGGCGAGUGGCGAACGGGUGAGUAAUACAUCGGAACAUGUCCUUUAGUGGGGGAUAGCCCGGCGAAAGCCGGAUUAAUACCGCAUACGAUCUACGGAUGAAAGCGGGGGACCUUCGGGCCUCGCGCUAUAGGGUUGGCCGAUGGCUGAUUAGCUAGUUGGUGGGGUAAAGGCCUACCAAGGCGACGAUCAGUAGCUGGUCUGAGAGGACGACCAGCCACACUGGGACUGAGACACGGCCCAGACUCCUACGGGAGGCAGCAGUGGGGAAUUUUGGACAAUGGGCGAAAGCCUGAUCCAGCAAUGCCGCGUGUGAGAAGAAGGCCUUCGGGUUGUAAAGCACUUUUGUCCGGAAAGAAAUCCUUGGCUCUAAUACAGUCGGGGGAUGACGGUACCGGAAGAAUAAGCACCGGCUAACUACGUG